rnacentral:misc_RNA from 1 species
CGCACAUUGCGCCCGCCAGCAUUCUGGCGGGCAUGCCUGUUCGAGCGUCAUUUCAACCCUCGACUUCCCUUUGGGGAAAUCGGCGUUGGGGAACGGCAGCAUACCGCCGGCCCCGAAAUGGAGUGGCGGCCCGUCCGCGGCGACCUCUGCGUAGUAAUCCAACUCGCACCGGAACCCCGACGUGGCCACGCCGUAAAACACCCAACUUCUGAACGUUGACCUCGGAUCAGGUAGGAAUACCCGCUGAACUUAA